rnacentral:rRNA from 1 species
UACGUAGGGUGCGAGCGUUGUCCGGAAUUAUUGGGCGUAAAGAGCUCGUAGGCGGUGUGUCACGUCGUUCGUGAAAACCUGCAGCUUAACUGUGGGCGUGCGGUCGAUACGGGCAUCACUGGAGUUCGGCAGGGAGACUGGAAUUCCCGGUGUAGCGGUGAAAUGCGCAGAGAUCGGGAGGAACACCCGUAGCGAAGGCGGCACUCUGGGCCGGUACUGACGCUGAGGAGCGAAAGCGUGGGAGCAACAGG